rnacentral:lncRNA from 1 species
GCCAGAUAAUACAGUAUAUNGUCUCUUGUAUACAGAAAAGUAAUCCUGGGAAGUCUUGAAACGUGGCAGAAGUGACAGUGACCGUAGCUGAUUCAGACAGAAGGGGUUAAACUGCCUGUACUGACCAGAAGUAUUUAAAGCCUUUUGUGUAGUCUGGUCACAGAUCUUGACCUCCACCAAAGGAAUCACAAGUGAAGAGUUUGUGCUGAAAUAAGACAAUUUGAAAAUAUAUUGAUAAUUCUCUUUUAAAGCUUUUGAGAAUUAAUCCUGGAACUGGGUUGGCAUUGGAGCACUUGAGCAUUCUAGAUGACUAGAGAAGAUGACAUCAAAGGAAACAGGCAGACAUUUCCACGCUUGAUUUCUGAAGACUGGCAAGGUGCAGCAUUGCAUCUCACAAUCUGCANUGCAGAGCUUUGUCAACUGCCUAGGGUUGUGUUGACCACAUACAACAAGACAUUCUCUAAUGAUCACUCCUCUUGAAGGUAGGGAAAGUCCAAGAGCCUUUUGUGUGAGGAUGUUGACAGAUUCAUGAUUUGCUUAAUUAGACCCCUUUGUGUCACCAGUGUAGUGCCCUUGAAAGCCCUUAUAUCUCAUGCCCUCCAUUUCAUUUCUGCUUCUUUAUGGGCACAUGAAGAUGUACAUGCAAAUUAAAGCCCGCUGUUGUUUUUUUCUUUUCUCUUACUGGCCAAGCUCAGAUUCUUUAAUCACCCCCAGGCAAUCAACCUGAUUGAUGCACUUGUCAGUGAAUAAAAUAUCAAGUCUCUUCUGCUUUUGCUGUUUU